rnacentral:rRNA from 1 species
UACGUAGGGUGCGGGCGUUGUCCGGAAUUAUUGGGCGUAAAGGGCUCGUAGGCGGUUUGUCGCGUCGGGAGUGAAAACCUCGGGCUUAACUCGGGGCUUGCUUUCGAUACGGGCAGACUGGAGGUAUGCAGGGGAGAACGGAAUUCCUGGUGUAGCGGUGAAAUGCGCAGAUAUCAGGAGGAACACCGGUGGCGAAGGCGGUUCUCUGGGCAUGACCUGACGCUGAGGAGCGAAAGUGUGGGGAGCGAACAGG